ACAGCAGUAGCCGCGGGAAUACGAAGGGUGCAAGCGUUACUCGGAAUUACUGGGCGUAAAGCGUGCGUAGGUGGUGGUUUAAGUCCGUUGUGAAAGCCCUGGGCUCAACCUGGGAAUUGCAGUGGAUACUGGGUCACUAGAGUGUGGUAGAGGAUAGUGGAAUUUCCGGUGUAGCAGUGAAAUGCGUAGAGAUCGGAAGGAACAUCUGUGGCGAAGGCGACUAUCUGGGCCAACACUGACACUGAGGCACGAAAGCGUGGGGAGCAAACAGGAUUAGAUACCCGUGUAGUCCCUGUCUCUUAUAC
rnacentral:rRNA from 1 species